rnacentral:rRNA from 1 species
GACGAACGCUGGCGGCGUGCUUAACACAUGCAGGUCGAACGCUGAAGCUUGGUGCUUGCACUGGGUGGAUGAGUGGCGAACGGGUGAGUAAUACGUGAGUAACCUGCCCUUGACUCUGGGAUAAGCCUGGGAAACUGGGUCUAAUACUGGAUACGACAUGUCACCGCAUGGUGGUGUGUGGAAAGGGUUUUACUGGUUUUGGAUGGCUCACGGCCUAUCAGCUUGUUGGUGGGGUAAUGGCUCACCAAGGCGACGACGGGUAGCCGGCCUGAGAGGGUGACCGGCCACACUGGGACUGAGACACGGCGCAGACUCCUACGGGAGGCAGCAGUGGGGAAUAUUGCACAAUGGGCGGAAGCCUGAUGCAGCGACGCCGCGUGAGGGAUGACGGCCUGCGGGUUGUAAACCUCUUUCAGCACGGAAGAAGCGAAAGUGACGGUACGUGCAGAAGAAGCGCCGGCUAACUACGUG